AGUUUGAUCCUGGCUCAGAACGAACGCUGGCGGCAUGCCUAACACAUGCAAGUCGGACGAAGGCUUCGGCCUUAGUGGCGCACGGGUGCGUAACGCGUGGGAAUCUGCCCUUGGGUUCGGAAUAACAGUGAGAAAUUACUGCUAAUACCGGAUGAUGACUUCGGUCCAAAGAUUUAUCGCCCAAGGAUGAGCCCGCGUAAGAUUAGCUAGUUGGUGAGGUAAAGGCUCACCAAGGCGACGAUCUUUAGCUGGUCUGAGAGGAUGAUCAGCCACACUGGGACUGAGACACGGCCCAGACUCCUACGGGAGGCAGCAGUGGGGAAUAUUGGACAAUGGGCGAAAGCCUGAUCCAGCAAUGCCGCGUGAGUGAUGAAGGCCUUAGGGUUGUAAAGCUCUUUUACCAGGGAUGAUAAUGACAGUACCUGGAGAAUAAGCUCCGGCUAACUCCGUGCCAGCUGCCGCGGUAAUACGGAGGGAGCUAGCGUUGUUCGGAAUUACUGGGCGUAAAGCGCACGUAGGCGGCCAUUCAAGUCAGAGUGGGAA
rnacentral:rRNA from 1 species